rnacentral:rRNA from 1 species
UACGGGGGGGGCAAGCGUUGUUCGGAAUUACUGGGCGUAAAGGGCUCGUAGGCGGCCAACUAAGUCAGACGUGAAAUCCCCCGGCUUAACCUGGGAACUGCGUCUGAUACUGGAGGGCUUGAGUGCGGGAGAGGGAUGUGGAAUUCCAGGUGUAGCGGUGAAAUGCGUAGAUAUCUGGAGGAACACCGGUGGCGAAGGCGGCGAUCCUGGACCGACACUGACGCUGAGGCGCGAAAGCUAGGGUAGCAAACGGG